rnacentral:rRNA from 1 species
UACGGAGGGGGCUAGCGUUGUUCGGAAUUACUGGGCGUAAAGUGCACGUAGGCGGACUGUUAAGUCGGGGGUGAAAUCCUGGGGCUCAACCUCAGAAUUGCCUCCGAUACUGGCAGUCUCGAGUGCGGGAGAGGUGAGUGGAAUUCCCAGUGAUAGAGGUGAAAUUCGUAGAUAUUGGGAAGAACACCAGUGGCGAAGGCGGCUCACUGGCCCGUAACUGACGCUGAGGUGACGAAAGCGUGGGGAGCAAACAGG